AUUGAACGCUGGCGGCAGGCUUAACACAUGCAAGUCGAACGAGUGGCGGACGGGUGAGUAAUGUUUGGGAAUCUACCUUAUGGAGGGGGAUAACUACGGGAAACUGUAGCUAAUACCGCGUACCAUAGGAUGAGCCAAAGUGGGAUUAGGUAGUUGGUAGGGUAAAGGCUCACCAAGCCGACGAUCUCUAGCUGGUCUGAGAGGAUGACCAGCCACACUGGGACUGAGACACGGUCCAGACUCCUACGGGAGGCAGCAGUGGGGAAUAUUGCGCAAUGGGCGAAACCUGACGCAGCCAUGCCGCGUGAAUGAAGAAGGCCUUCGGGUCGUAAAGUUCUUUCGGUAGCGAGGCGUUAACUACAGAAGAAGCACCGGCUAACUCCGUGCCAGCAGCCGCGGUAAUUC
rnacentral:rRNA from 1 species